GUCCCCCAGAGACCGUUAUUAUAAAAAAAAAAUUUCCAUCCAAACCAAUGAUUGGACAUGGUUCCUGGGACCAUUUUACACCUCUGGACCAAGUUUCAAAAUAUUUGCCGGCAGGAAUUUCGAAUACGGUCAGUUUUAGUGUUUCGAGUAGAAAUUAAGGGGAAAUCACAUGUAAAAUGCGUAGAAAAAGAUCAAAGUUUCAAUGUUUUAACAACAAAACAUUACUGGUCAUGGUUUUAAAUUGUAUUAACAUGUAGCAGAAUGAUAUAAAAACGAUUUACAGCUCUGACUUAGCCGGAUUAAGCCGAUGUUAAGUGACUUAAGUAUAUUAUUUACAAGUUUAUGCCUUAAUAUCUAAAGAAAACUCCUACAUCAAGUGAUUUAAAGUCAAGGAAAACUAGGUUGCACAAAAAUAACUUAAAAUGGGGUGACUUUGAGCCAAGGGGUGACAUUGUACCAACAAACGCAUAAAGAUUGCUUUGAUAAGCUUGAAUUUUAUGUUAAUUUCAUUAUUUGUAGACGAAUUAAUUUGGUCUAUUUAUGUUCCCACAAAGGAAUUUGAUGUUUUUGCUACGCUAAUCUGCUUGUUCUAUUCUCGCUGCCGGAACCUGUUGUAGGAAUCCUUGGUUACCAAAGGUUACCACUUUGUUUGUUAGUUCUUCAAGUUCUCGGAUUUGAACGUUCGUCACCUCGUGCGAAGAAUUUGUCUACAAAAAUGGAUUUCCACGAGAGGAAUAGAACUUUGGUUUGCGUUUUGUGUCUCACUUGGGCGGCUUCUCUGCGGCCGAUUUCCUCAAACGUUGGAAUCGUCAUUGGAGCAAAUUUUUUGAUGGACUUUGAACAAAGAAGAAAUUUCUACCCAACGGUUAUCUGUGGAAAAUGCCGGCAUGCUUGUGGAAAAAAUUCCAAAGGAGAAGAAACAUUCAAGGUUCACAGUUAUAAGUAUGAUUCUACAACAAUAACAAGAUCUUCGGGUGUUUGCAAGUGUGAAAUUUGCACUGCUGCAAAAAUUCGCGAUGGAACAAAUUUGCCAGGAUUUAAACCGAUUAGAGUCAAAAGGGGGAGACCACGCAGCAAUGAGGAAAUUUCUGAUAGCAAGACGAUGCGAUUAUGUGAAACUUGUCUCAGCGAUUUUGGCCCAGGCAAAAGGCAUGUUUGCAAUCAAUCCACUAGGACAGCAAACUUAACUAAAAUUAUGAAAAGUGGCGAGUCCUCUUCUUCUUCCACGGAUGCAGCAGUGCGUGAUUAUCUCAAUUCUUCACAUGAGUCAUCGGGUAAUAAAUUCUCUUAAUAUACUUAUAUUGUACUGAAUAAGUUUUUCCCCAAGAUGGAACAAUAACUUUGCGUAACAUGAAAGGAAAAGCGUCGGUUUUCAAGAAAAUGUCUACAAGAUCAGAAACAUCAAAAAAUCUGCAUGCUAAUGAUAUAUUUCAAGUCAAAGCGGAGAACAACUUGAGCAUGAAAAAAACAAUGGGUAUUAUUUAAUUUUAUUUAAACAACAAAUUUAGAAAAAGGGUUUAUUUAAUAUAGGAAUUAUCAAAAGUCUUCGCACGACGGGUGUUUUGGUUGAACCAGGAAUUCGCACAAAAUUGGUGGAACUGAAUCGACAGUUGAAAGACUUGUUCAAGAUUGAGCAUCUGUCCAACUUAGAUAACAGCGAAAAUUUGGGCAAAGCAAAAGAAGAAGUUGCAGUGUACUGUACUGAUGUUCAAGAGCUCAUAAAUCGAAUAAAGCAGUCAAGAUCGUACACAAGUGAUGAUGGCAUUGUGGUGAAAUUGGGAAUUGAUGGAGGAGGUGGAUUUUUCAAAAUAACUCUAUCUGUACUGUCAAAAAAUCUGGAGCAGCUGACUGGAAAUGCAUUCAAGGUCGGCGGUGUGAAACGACUUUUUAUCAUUGCUCUUGUGCAAAAUCUCGCGGAAAAGUAUGAAAACGUCGCUCCAAUAUGGACAAAACUGCUGAAGCUGCAAAACAUCGAAGCCAUAAUAGCAGGUGACCUCAAGAUAAUCAAUAUUAUUACUGGAAUAAUGGCACACUCCUCGAGACAGCCAUGUCCAUACUGUGAGGCACAAAAGUCAGCCCUUGGAACAUGCAAGGGAACAAGUAGAACCAAAGGCAACAUCAAGACCAACUAUUUGAACAAAAAGAUGGGUGGCAGGAACACUGCUUGCUGCAUAUACGAACCAUUGAUCUACGGAAACGAUGACGACGAAAUCCUUUUCCUUUGCCCUCCUCCGCCACUGCAUCUUACACUCGGAAUUGUAAAUACGAUCUUCAAGGGAGUAGAGAAGAAUUCUCCCGAUUGGGCAGAUUUGUGGGUGAGCCAAGCCAACGUACGACAUCAGCAGAAAACAUAUGGUUUUACAGGCCGGGCUUGUCACGCGCUAUUGAAGGCGGCUGAUUGCUUGGAACUUAAUUCUGAUUUACUUGGUUACGCUAAGGUAAGCUAUUUGAGAAAGAAGGUGAGAGAUUUUAACAAUUAUUUAUUUAUUUAUCAGGCUCUGAAGAAGUUCAACGACGUAUAUAAUAAGUGUUUCUCAUUUAAACUAGAUGCUAGUUUUGAAGAAAGUAUCCACGAAUUUGUGUCUAGCUGGGAAGACCUUCAGCUACCUAAUA